CAUGCCUGAGCGCGUGGCGGGGAGGCGCGGCUCUGACUGAGAUCGCGGCGGGCGGCGGAGCGCCGCUCCGGCCCCGAGGAGCUGCGACGGGAACAGAGUAAAUCAUUGGGGAGUCUGCUUGAACUGUGACUUUCACUUCAAGUAUCUUGAUCAGCAGUGCAAUAUUUGCACUGGACAGAGAAAUAAGCAUGAAGCCCCUUCACUAACUGUUCUCACUGCAGCAGAGGAGCCCUGGUGUGUCACAGCUGGACAGAGGCACCUCUACCUAUGGCAAGGAAGAGCUGAGGUAAGCAUGUCACAUGUAUUUCAGCUAAAUUUUUUGUUGCUGUUUCUUGGACUUUUAGAACAAAAAAGAGUACGUUGAUACUGUCUUUUGACUUCAGAAUUGAACAUAAAACACCAAUUUUGGAGAAAAACAGAAUGAAGUUACUAUUUCUCAGCUAUUCACCAGAAUAUUACUAAUACUCCCUAUGGUAAAUAAGUGUGUUCAUCUCAUUUGCAAUUAAACUAAUUUGACAUUUUUGCUUCUCUAGAAAUAAAUUGUAAAUAAACAAAUUUGGUUUCA
rnacentral:lncRNA from 1 species